GGGCGGUUAGCUCAGCUGGAAGAGCGCUUCCCUCACGCGGAAGAUGUCAGAGGUUCGAGUCCUCUACCGCCCACCA
rnacentral:tRNA from 1 species